rnacentral:rRNA from 1 species
GACGAACGCUGGCGGCGUGCUUAACACAUGCAAGUCGAACGGUGAAAGGGAGCUUGCUCCCUGGAUCAGUGGCGAACGGGUGAGUAACACGUGGGCAACCUGCCCCAGACUUCGGGAUAACGCUUCGAAAGAGGUGCUAAUACCGGAUACGAACUCCUUGGGCAUCCUUGGGGUUGGAAAGUUUUUCGGUCAGGGAUGGGCCCGCGGCCUAUCAGCUUGUUGGUGGGGUAGUGGCUCACCAAGGCGACGACGGGUAGCCGGCCUGAGAGGGCGACCGGCCACACUGGGACUGAGACACGGCCCAGACUCCUAUGGGAGGCAGCAGUGGGGAAUAUUGCGCAAUGGGCGAAAGCCUGACGCAGCAACGCCGCGUGAGGGAUGACGGCCUUCGGGUUGUAAACCUCUUUCAGCAGGGAAGAAGCGAAAGUGACGGUACCUGCAGAAGAAGCGCCGGCUAACUACGUGCCAGCCGCCGCCGUAA